AGUGAACGCUGGCGGUAGGCCUAACACAUGCAAGUCGAACGGCAGCACAGUAAGAGCUUGCUCUUACGGGUGGCGAGUGGCGGACGGGUGAGGAAUACAUCGGAAUCUACUUUUUCGUGGGGGAUAACGUAGGGAAACUUACGCUAAUACCGCAUACGACCUACGGGUGAAAGCAGGGGAUCUUCGGACCUUGCGCGAUUGAAUGAGCCGAUGUCGGAUUAGCUAGUUGGCGGGGUAAAGGCCCACCAAGGCGACGAUCCGUAGCUGGUCUGAGAGGAUGAUCAGCCACGCUGGAACUGAGACACGGUCCAGACUCCUACGGGAGGCAGCAGUGGGGAAUAUUGGACAAUGGGCGCAAGCCUGAUCCAGCCAUACCGCGUGGGUGAAGAAGGCCUUCGGGUUGUAAAGCCCUUUUGUUGGGAAAGAAAAGCAGCAGGUUAAUACCCCGCUGUUCUGACGGUUCCCAAAGAAUAAGCACCGGCUAACUUCGUG
rnacentral:rRNA from 1 species